rnacentral:rRNA from 1 species
GACGAACGCUGGCGGCGUGCUUAACACAUGCAAGUCGAACGGAAAGGCCCUGCUUUUGUGGGGUGCUCGAGUGGCGAACGGGUGAGUAACACGUGAAUAACCUGCCCUUGACUUUGGGAUAACUUCAGGAAACUGGUGCUAAUACCGGAUAGGAGCUCCUGCUGCAUGGUGGGGGUUGGAAAGUUUCGGCGGUUGGGGAUGGACUCGCGGCUUAUCAGCUUGUUGGUGGGGUAGUGGCUUACCAAGGCUUUGACGGGUAGCCGGCCUGAGAGGGUGACCGGCCACAUUGGGACUGAGAUACGGCCCAGACUCCUACGGGAGGCAGCAGUGGGGAAUAUUGCACAAUGGGCGGAAGCCUGAUGCAGCAACGCCGCGUGCGGGAUGACGGCCUUCGGGUUGUAAACCGCUUUCGCCUGUGACGAAGCGUGAGUGACGGUAAUGGGUAAAGAAGCACCGGCUAACUACGUG